GACGAACGCUGGCGGCGUGCUUAACACAUGCAAGUCGAACGGUAAGGCCCUUCGGGGUACACGAGUGGCGAACGGGUGAGUAACACGUGGGUGAUCUGCCCUGCACUUCGGGAUAAGCCUGGGAAACUGGGUCUAAUACCGGAUAGGACUCCGGACUGCAUGGUCUGGGGUGGAAAGCUUUUGCGGUGUGGGAUGGGCCCGCGGCCUAUCAGCUUGUUGGUGGGGUGAUGGCCUACCAAGGCGACGACGGGUAGCCGGCCUGAGAGGGUGACCGGCCACACGGGGACUGGGAUACGGCCCAGACUCCUGCGGGAGGCAGCAGUGGGGAAUAUUGCACAAUGGGCGCAAGCCUGAUGCAGCGACGCCGCGUGAGGGAUGACGGCCUUCGGGUUGUAAACCUCUUUCAGCAUCGACGAAGCGAAAGUGACGGUAGGUGCAGAAGAAGGACCGGCCAACUACGUGCCAGCAGCCGCGGUAA
rnacentral:rRNA from 1 species